GGGCCGGUAGCUCAGCUAGGUAGAGCGGCGGUCGAUAAAAAUGGUCGAGGCUCUUAACCCGUAGGCCCCGGGUUCGAAUCCCGGCCGGCCCG
rnacentral:tRNA from 2 species